ACGUAGGGGGCCAGCGUUGCUCGGAAUUACUGGGCGUAAAGGGUCCGUAGGCGGUGUGRCAAGUCGGDAGUGAAAUCUCUGGGCUUAACYCAGAGGCUGCUBCCGAAACUGYYRUGCUWGAGUGYGAGAGAGGCGAGUGGAAUURCGGGUGUAGCGGUGAAAUGCGUAGAUAUCCGYAGGAACAUCCGAGGCGAAAGCGGCUCGCUGGAUCRCAACUGACGCUGAGGGACGAAAGCUAGGGGAGCAAACAGGAUUAGAUACCCUGGUAGUCCUAGCCCUAAACCAUCAGGACUUGGGGUUUGCCCUGUACGGGGCAAGUCCCGKAGCUAACGCGUUAAGUCCUGCGCCUGGGGAGUACGGUCGCAAGRCUGAAACUCAAAG
rnacentral:rRNA from 1 species